UACGGAGGGUGCGAGCGUUGUCCGGAAUCAUUGGGCGUAAAGGGCGCGUAGGUGGCCCGGUCAGUUCGUGGUGAAAGCGCGGGGCUCAACCCUGCGUCGGCCAUGAAUACUGCCGCGGCUGGAGCACUGUAGAGGCAGGCGGAAUUCCGGGUGUAGCGGUGGAAUGCGUAGAGAUCCGGAAGAACACCGGUGGCGAAGGCGGCCUGCUGGGCAGUUGCUGACACUGAGGCGCGGACAGCGUGGGGAGCAACAGG
rnacentral:rRNA from 1 species